rnacentral:hammerhead_ribozyme from 1 species
AUCAAACUGAGGAGUCUUAAAUAGGACGAAACGCGCGUUCUGGAC